UGCCCUCCGCUGGGGUAGGGACUCAGGAUACACAGAUAGAAGCGAUGAGCAGCAAACUCAUGUCCAGGCAAGAAACACACGUUGUUACUCUCCACAGUAGUCAUUUUCCCUGGUAACUUUACAACGCGUCACUGAAAUCCUGCCUUCUCUAAUACACCAAGCGCUUUGUUCAGGAAGCCGAUAUAACUAACCCAUGAAGUUAAAACACAGAACACCUUUAAAAAAUAAUAACUCAGUAAAGGACAGCGGGACAACUUACUAUGAAGAAAUGCUGUUCUAACAGAAACUCUUCUAUGGUGUUGCACUAACUGUGCAAGUCCCCAUCCCUCUCAGCCCUGUUACACGAGUGGGUGCACACAGCGGAGUGUCCCGCCUCGCUUGCUUUACUCCCCAGAGGAAGAAAAGUCACGUGACUUACAGGAGGAGUCACCACGGAGUACACUGUUUGUGACUGGAACAUUGGGAAUGCCUCCACUAUUGAGAAUCUGAUGGCACCAGGCAAUAGUAGUUCUCCCUGAAAUCUGAAUGCUUUUAAAAGAAAAUUGCAUCCUAUUCUGGCCUCUUCCAGCUUUCUCUCCGUUCCUCGGACACAACCAGCCCUCACCUCAGAGCUGCUGUGCUUGCCGUUUCCUCAGGCCGGUCUCACGCCCUUCACCUUUGCAGGGAGGCCUCAGGAGUUACCAGGUGUUUGUGUGAAAGUCACC